UGGUCAAUGGACGCAAGUCUGAACCAGCCAUGCCGCGUGAAGGAUGAAGGUCCUCUGGAUUGUAAACUUCUUUUAUCUGGGACGAAAACGGGAUUUUUAUCUCAAUUGACGGUACCAGAGGAAUAAGCACCGGCUAACUCCGUGCCAGCAGCCGCGGUAAUACGGAGGGUGCGAGCGUUAUCCGGAUUUCCUGGGCUUAAAGGGUGCGUAGGUGGGCUUAUAAGUCAGUGGUGAAAUCUCCGAGCUUAACUUGGAAACUGGCGGUGAUACUAUGGGUCUUGAAUUAUCUGGAGGUAAGCGGAGUAGGUCAUGUAGCGGUGAAAUGCUUCGAUAUGACAUAGGACACCAAUUGCGAAGGCAGCUUACGAC
rnacentral:rRNA from 1 species